rnacentral:rRNA from 1 species
GCCGGUUUCCCCCGAUGAUCUUCACCGGUUGUCCCGGGUGACCGGCACGUUUACUUUGAAAAAAUUAGAGUGCUCAAAGCAGGCGCGCGGCCUGGAUAAUGGUGCAUGGAAUAAUGGAAUAGGACUUCGUUUCUAUUUUGUUGGUUUUCGGAACACGAGGUAAUGAUUAAGAGGGACAGACGGGGGCAUUCGUAUUGCGACGCUAGAGGUGAAAUUCUUGGACCGUCGCAAGACGAACUACUGCGAAAGCAUUUGCCAAGAAUGUUUUCAUUAAUCAAGAACGAAAGUUAGAGGUUCGAAGGCGAUCAGAUACCGCCCUAGUUCUAACCAUAAACGAUGCCAACCAGCGAUCCGCCUGAGUUCCUCAAAUGACUCGGCGGGCAGCUUCCGGGAAACCAAAGUGUUUGGGUUCCGGGGGAAGUAUGGUUGCAAAGCUGAAACUUAAAGGAAUUGACGGAAGGGCACUACCAGAUGUGGAGCCUGCGGUUUAAUUUGACUCAACACGGGACAUCUCACCCGGCCCGGACACUGGAAGGAUUGACAGAUUAAGAGCUCUUUCUUGAUUCAGUGGGUGGUGGUGCAUGGCCGUUCGUAGUUGGUGAAGCGAUUUGUCUGGUUAAUUCCGAUAACGAGCGAGACUCUAGCCUACUAAAUAGGCGUCCCGAUCCCUUCGGUCGGGCGUUCUUCUUAGAGGGACAAGUGGCGUUUAGCCGCACGAGACAGAGCAAUAACAGGUCAGUGAUGCCCUUAGAUGUCCGGGGCCGCACGCGCGCUACACUGAAGGAAUCAGCGUGUGCUUUCCCUGUCCGGCAGGACUGGGUAACCCGUUGAACCUCCUUCGUGAUAGGGAUAGGGGCUUGCAAUUAUUCCCCUUGAACGAGGAAUACCCAGUAAGCGCGAGUCAUCAGCUCGUGUUGAUUACGUCCCUGCCCUUUGUACACACCGCCCGUCGCUACUACCGAUUGAAUGAUUUAGUGA